GGGCGUAAGGAUGCGUAGGCGGAUUUUUAAGUGAGAUGUGAAAUACCCGGGCUUAACUUGGGUGCUGCAUUUCAAACUGGAAGUCUAGAGUGCAGGAGAGGAAAGUGGAAUUCCUAGUGUAGCGGUGAAAUGCGUAGAGAUUAGGAAGAACACCAGUGGCGAAGGCGACUUUCUGGACUGUAACUGACGCUGAGGCAUGAAAGCGUGGGUAGCAAACAGGAUUAGAUACCCUGGUAGUCCACGCCGUAAACGAUGAGUACUAGGUGUAGGAGGUAUCGACCCCUUCUGUGCCGCAGUUAACACAAUAAGUACUCCGCCUGGGAAGUACGAUCGCAAGAUUAAAACCCAAAGGAAUUGACGGGGGCCCGCACAAGCAGCGGAGCAUGUGGUUUAAUUCGAAGCAACGCGAAGAACCUUACCUAGACUUGACAUCCCCUGAAUUACUCGUAACGGAGGAAGCCCUUCGGGGCAGGGAGACAGGUGGUGCAUGGUUGUCGUCAGCUCGUGUCGUGAGAUGUUAGGUUAAGUCCUGCAACGAGCGCAACCCUUAUCAUUAGUUGCUACCAUUAAGUUGAGCACUCUAGUGAGACUGCCCGGGUUAACCGGGAGGAAGGUGGGGAUGACGUCAAAUCAUCAUGCCCCUUAUGUCUAGGGCUACACACGUGCUACAAUGGUGAAUACAAUGAGAUGCAAACCCGUGAGGGGGAGCAAAACUAUAAAAUUCAUCUCAGUUCGGAUUGUAGGCUGAAACUCGCCUACAUGAAGCUGGAGUUGCUAGUAAUCGCGAAUCAGCAUGUCGCGGUGAAUACGUUCCCGGGCCUUGUACACACCGCCCGUCACACCAUGAGAGCUGGCAACACCCGAAGUCCGUGAGGUAACCGUAAGGAGCCAGCG
rnacentral:rRNA from 1 species